UACGGAGGGUGCAAGCGUUGCUCGGAAUUAUUGGGCGUAAAGGGUAGGUAGGUGGUCUCAUUUGUCUGGGGUGAAAGCCUUGAGCUUAACUCAAGAAGUGCCCCAGAAACGGUGAGACUAGAGUCCUGGAGAGGGUCGUGGAAUUCCUGGUGUAGCGGUGAAAUGCGCAGAUAUCAGGAGGAACACCAGCGGCGAAGGCGGCGCUCUGGGCCGGAACUGACGCUGAGGAGCGAAAGCGUGGGUAGCAAACAGG
rnacentral:rRNA from 1 species